GGGGUUGUGGCUCAGUGGUAGAGCACUUGCCUAGCAUGUGUGAGGCUCUGGGUUUGAUCCCUGCACCCA
rnacentral:tRNA from 1 species